UAUUAUUUUUUAGGUUCUGCCCCAGCACCCCCGCAAAGAUAGCCAACACUGGCUCUCACGUAAGAUCCAGGAGUCUCCGCAGUUUGGAACCCAACACCACAUUUCCUAGAAUACUUGACGCCCUCGCAGGCCUCCUCUGGCUAUAAUGGAAAAGGGAUAUGCCUGGGAACUGUGCUGCUAAUAGAAGGAAGCAGAACGUCUGUUUUCCACUAACGGCUCCUGAUUGGGGUUUGUUAUGCCCAGUCUGAAUUGACCUGGAACUUGGCCGCGGCUCUGGCCGCCCCGGGGUAAGGCGGGGGACCCAGCAGAGGCGACUGCACCGCAAGGUUAUAGCGCUGAGCUGCUCCACGCUCUGGAAGGUGCCAGAGCGCGGGAGAUGCUGUGGUUGGUAAAGGCUGCUCGGCGCUAGUCAGGUGAGGCCUGGAGGUUCGCAUCUGCAGAUCCAUCUUUGGGUGUACAGUCUUUGGAUCCUCUUCUCAGCUCUGAAGAGGCGGUUCCAGCGGUCGGGUAUCUCGGGUGAACUGGGUUUAGCCCUUGUCACCGCUCGGAACUGGGUGUCCCGGGACUCCCAGUCCUUUUAGGUCUUGCUCAGGACUACAUUUCCCAAAAGGCUCCGCGGUGAUUGAAAGCUCUAUCAGCCUAUGGACGGGGGAGACUUCUCAUCCCAGAAACUGAGAAGCCAAUGGCAAGAGGACGGGGGCGGUAUUUUCCGGCUGCUGGCUGUCUUGUCCAGAGUCCCACCUGUGUCCCCACAGCCCUGUCACGAAUCCCAGUCGGGUUCUGGGCGGGACUGCCACGGCGUUGCGGGCCGGGUGCGGCUCGGCGGUGGAGGACUCUCACUUCGUGCUCCAUCCCGGGCUGGGCCCCGGGGCGGUGAGUGAUCCGGGGAAGGAGACUGCGGCUGCAGCCCGGGCGCCGCUGAGGGGCGUGGAUGGGGCUCACCCGCCGCCCCGGCGUUGUCUCUGCCGGGUCCUCGCGCUCGCCUUUCCGAGCCCGCGGGUCUUGCUGAGGAGUGGGGAGAGGUAGCUGCGCUUUUCUCUGCCGGCGUCGGGAUAGCUCAUCCUCUUAAUUUUUUUGCUCCUCGGUGGUGGUCCUCUGGUUUCAGUUUAGCUUUGCGACCCUUUGACCGCUGCACCUAGAUUAGGGCCUACAGCACCGCGAGGGAGGAGAAUGGGUGUCGGCCCUACCCGUGCGGUCAUGUUCCUAUUAAUAAACCCAGUGAACAAACUAGUGCUUCUCACAAUGGCACUUAGUCACAGCACCUCAGCGGUCUAGGGCCUUUGAGGUCUCCUGUACGGGGGGGCAGGAGACCGGGUGGCAGGAGACCGGGUGGGAAACAGGGUUUCUCUAACCUUGGCUGAGAACUCUCCAUCCCGCUGUCUCCUGCAGGUGGGCCCUGCUGUUGGGUUUUGUAAUGAACGGAGAAAUAAAAUGUAUGCUCAAAACUCAUUACAGUUUUCACUUCCUAAUGACAUUAUUUUUGUUUGUUAAGGUUUUAAACCAGAGAGAUGAAAUGUAUUCCCACGGCUUUUAGGCUCCUAAAACCCCAGUACUUUAUAAGUGACCAAUAGCAAUAUGUGUGAAUGCAUAAAUGUUUCCAUGAAAAGUGUGUGUAUUCUAGUAAUGCACAGGUGCUCUGAUUGGUGAGACAAAAGAUGUGAAAGAGUAAAAGUUCCUCACCCCGGUAUGAUCCAUCCUCCACUGAAAUGCAGAAUUCUUUGUAGAAGGUUCAUCUAUUCAAUCAGCUGGCUGACUAUAUUUGUUUUUAGUGGAAACUCUUCAAGGGGGAAAACAAACAAAAAAACAAACAUUAUCCUAUAUUACUUUGUGACUCCUAAUGCCUAACAGAAUAUUAAUUAUUGAAUAAAUUACUGAUCCAUCCAGUAACCUGACCAUCUCCCCCCAAAUAAUUUUUUCAUGAUAGUGAUGUUAAUUUUAUUAAUGUGUUAAUGAUUGUUUUCAGCCCCCAAGCAUUUUGUUUUGUGCUUAUCGCCAUUGAAUUUCACUUAAUUUUACAGCUUAUCCAUGUUGUUUUUUAAAAUCCAUGUCUUUUUAAGUCCCAUUUCUGACUGCAUUAAACCUUGAAAUAGAAUGAUACCUAGGGCAGUUCCUUUUGGGCUUCUGCAUAGUUUGUCCCUUGAAGUUGACACUAAAUCUACAAGCCAGGAAAAGUCAGCUAUUCUCAUAACUAAUAUGAGUCUAAUGAAGUCCGCAAUUUCCUACCUAGCUGAGGAAAAUGUAGUUGGAGAGAAUCCAAAGCUUUCCAGAAAUUGAGUUAUACCUGUGCACUCUCUCCUCUGUUUAUCUUGUCCAUCAUGGACAAUUUGUUCCUCAAAAAGUUAAUGUCUCCAAAAGACUGAGCGUUCUGCAGAUGUGUUUGGGAGGUCCAGGACUCAUUUUGUGAUGAGAAAGUUGGCCAAAGGAAAGGUUAUGUUAAAACAGAAUAAGGAAAGCAUCCCUUCUGUGGUUGACAGCAUUUACCUCAGAGCUAUCUAUUCUGGUCAGCGGGUUUUCUUUAGGUAUGUUGGGGCCAUAGUGGCUGUAUUUUGGUUUUGAGACAAUGGUGAGACUAUCUAAAGAGCUCUUGAUGCAUACUGAGGUCUCUUGCUGUAGGAACUGAUGAUGUGGCUGGGGACUUCAGGGACGAGUGGAUUACCUGGACACUGCUUAGAGAGUCCUCUUCAGGGAUACCACCCAGCACAGUUAGAAGAAUGGGCUCUCAAAGGUGUUUGUCUUUUUCUCAUGGCAAUACCGACUGCUGCCCUUCUGGGAAAAUUUAAAAGUAAACAUGGGGCUUACUUGGUGGCGCAGUGGUUAAAAAUCCGCCUGCCAAUGCAGGGUACACGGGUUCAUGCCCUGGUCUGGGAAGAUCUCACAUGCGGCGGAGCAACUAAGCCCGUGCGCCACAACUACUGAGCCUGCGCUCUAGAGCCCGCGAGCCACAACUACUGAAGCCACAUGCCUAGAGCCCGUGCUCCACAACAAGAGAAGCUACCACAAUGAGAAGCCCGCGCACCGCAGCUAGAGAAAGCCUGCGCGCAGCAAAAAAGACCCAACGCAGCCAAAAAUAAAUAAAUAUUUUUAAAAUAAAUAAAAAGUAAA